rnacentral:lncRNA from 1 species
GGCCGGAAGAAGGGCAGCAAGGCCAAGAAGAGCGUGGAGACGUACAAGAUCUACAUCUUCAAGGUGCUGAAGCAGGUGCACCCGGACGUGGGCAUCUCCUCCAAGGCCAUGUCCAUCAUGAACUCCUUCAUCAACGACAUCUUCGAGAAGCUCGCCGGGGAGUCGGCCAAGCUGGCGCGCUACAACAAGAAGCCCACCAUCACCUCCCGGGAGAUCCAGACCUCCGUCCGCCUCGUCCUCCCCGGCGAGCUCGCCAAGCACGCCGUCUCCGAGGGCACCAAGGCCGUCACCAAGUUCACCUCCUCCUAGACUGAAUCUCUGAUUGCGUCGCCUUGUUGUUCCAAAUGUAGUAGUUGGCUGCUGCUGACUCUGCUUAUCUCUCUGCAAGUAGUGGUAGUGGUGGAUGAUUGCCAACGCUCUGUUGGCUCCUUGGUUGUUAGAGGUGAACUUGUUGCUUUUGCAAACUGAUAUCAGUAUCCAGAAAACGUUGCAGUCGUGGUUCUAUAUCCGUGCCAGUGAUGAUUUGACUGAUGUUGGCUUUUCUACUUUUCUGAACUGAACACAGCCAUGUCCGGCCAAUUUGCAUUUUAUCCGCGCCAAUG